UAGGGAAUCUUCCGCAAUGGACGCAAGUCUGACGGAGCAACGCCGCGUGAGUGAAGAAGGAUUUCGGUUCGUAAAACUCUGUUGUUAGAGAAGAACAGCGCAUAGAGUAACUGUUAUGCGUGUGACGGUAUCUAACCAGAAAGCCACGGCUAACUACGUGCCAGCAGCCGCGGUAAUACGUAGGUGGCAAGCGUUGUCCGGAUUUAUUGGGCGUAAAGCGAGCGCAGGCGGUUAGAUAAGUCUGAAGUUAAAGGCAGUGGCUCAACCAUUGUAGGCUUUGUAAACUGUUUAACUUGAGUGCAGAGGGAGAGAGUUGAAUUCCAUGUGUAGCGGUGAAAUGCGUAGAUAUAUGGGGGAACACCGGUGGCGAAAGCGGCUCUCUGGUCUGUAUCUGACGCUGAGGCUCGAAAGCGUGGGGAGCGAACAGG
rnacentral:rRNA from 1 species